AUACGGAGGGGGUUAGCGUUGUUCGGAAUUACGGGGCGUAAAGCGCACGUAGGCGGAUUGGAAAGUUGGGGGUGAAAUCCCAGGGCUCAACCCUGGAACUGCCUCCAAAACUAACAGUCUAGAGUUCGAGAGAGGUGAGUGGAAUUCCAAGUGUAGAGGUGAAAUUCGUAGAUAUUUGGAGGAACACCAGUGGCGAAGGCGGCUCACUGGCUCGAUACUGACGCUGAGGUGCGAAAGCGUGGGGAGCAAACAGGAUUAGAAACCCCUGUAGUCC
rnacentral:rRNA from 1 species